rnacentral:pre_miRNA from 1 species
GAUUCCACCUACAGAAGUCAUCAACAUGAAAGUUUCUCAACUCAUCAAUAUCUUUGACUUUUAUUAAGGUCAUUUCUUCAUCUGACAAAGUUAUAUAAACGUUGUUCACAAAUUCUAUGCAUCUAACUUCUAGUUUAUGAAACAACAAGUAUGAUGCAUGGAUUUUGUGAAUAAGGUUUCUAUAAGUUUGUUGGAUGAAGAAAUGACCUUAAUAAAAGUCAAAGAUAUUGAUGAGUUGAGAAACUUUCAUGUUCAUGAAUUUUUCAUUUGAAAUA